rnacentral:rRNA from 1 species
UGGGGAAUAUUGCACAAUGGGCGCAAGCCUGAUGCAGCCAUGCCGCGUGUGUGAAGAAGGCCUUCGGGUUGUAAAGCACUUUCAGCGAGGAGGAAGGUGGUGAGCUUAAUACGCUCAUCAAUUGACGUUACUCGCAGAAGAAGCACCGGCUAACUCCGUGCCAGCAGCCGCGGUAAUACGGAGGGUGCAAGCGUUAAUCGGAAUUACUGGGCGUAAAGCGCACGCAGGCGGUUUGUUAAGUCAGAUGUGAAAUCCCCGGGCUCAACCUGGGAACUGCACUUGAAACUGGCAAGCUAGAGUCUCGUAGAGGGGGGUAGAAUUCCAGGUGUAGCGGUGAAAUGCGUAGAGAUCUGGAGGAAUACCGGUGGCGAAGGCGGCCCCCCUGGACGAAGACUGACGCUCAGGUGCGAAAGCGUGGGGCAGCAAACAGGAUUAGAUACCCUGGUAGUCCACGCUGUAAACGAUGUCGAUUUUGGAGGUUGUGCCCCUUGAGGCGUGGCUUCCGGAGCUAACGCGUUAAAUCGACCGCCUGGGGAGUACGGCCNCAAGGUUAAAACUCAAAUGAAUUGC